UUUUUUUAUUUUUAUUUUUUUAAGGUUUUAAUUAAUUCAUUAAUUUUGUCUUUUUAGGGCCGCAACCACCGCAUAUGGAGGUUCCCAGCCUAGGGGUAGAAUCGGAGCUAUAGCCGCUGGCCUACACCACAGCCACAGCUAUGCCAGAUCCAAGCUGCGUCUGUGACCUACACCACAGCUCAAGGCAACGCGGGAUCCUUAACCCACUAAGCGAGGCCAGGGAUCGAACCUGCAUCCUCAUGGAUGCUAGUCAGAUUCAUUUCCACUUAGCCACGUGGGGAACUCCUAUUAGUGAUAUUUUAAAACAAGUGUUAAAUACCAACAUCCAUCUUGAAUACAUAGCUACAAAUAUUGCCAUUGGUGGAGUUCCCAUUGUGGCUCAGCAAUAACCAAUCUGACUAGUAACCAUGAGGAAGCAGUUCCAUCCCUGGCCUUGCUCAGUGGGUUAAAGAUCCUACCUUGCGGUGAGCUGUAGGUUGCAGACACUGGCUUGGAUUGGCAUUGCUCUGGCUGUGUCCUAGGCCAGCUGCUGCAGCUCCAAUUUGACCCUUGGCCUGGGGACUUUUAUAUGCCUCAGGUGUGGCCCUAAAAAAGCAAAAUAAAUAAAUUAAUUAAAAAAUGUUUUUGGUGAUAUGAUUUCUUAAAUGGACUAAAUAAAGUUCCCAGUAAAAGUUUGAUCUUUGCUCUAUUUACAUCCACUCCUGGAAAAAUCAGUGUCUCUAAAUAUCCGGCCCCAUCAAAAUUGCAUUAAUUUGUAAAACAAUGGGUUAGAGAGUCAUAUAAUCAGAAACAGAGUUUCACCCACAGGAAUCUUGGUUGGAACACUCAAAAGUCAUGUCUGGGAGUUCCCAUUGUGGCUCAGCAGGUUACGGGCUGGACAUUGUCUCUGUGAGGAUGCAGGUUUGUCCCCUGGCAUCAUCAGUGAGUUAAGGAUCCCAAGUUGCCAUAAGCUGCAACUUACCUUAUUCCACUUACCAUCGGCAUUUCACUUAACCAUCGUGUUUUCAGGGUUCAUCUGUGCUGUAGCAUGUGUCAGAAUUUCCCUUUAUUUGAAGGCUGAAUCAUAUUCUAUGAUAUGAAUAGAUCACAUUUUGUUUAUCUCCUCAUCUAUCCAUGGCACUGUUAUCUCCACCUGUUGGGUAUUAUGACUAAUGCUACAAUGAACAUGGUUGUACAAAUAUGUUUGAAACCCUGCUUUCCAAUUCUUCUGUAUGUAUCCAUAAGAGGAACUGAUCACAUUGUUUUCCAUAAUCUGUACCACUUCACAUCCCCACCAGCAAUGCACAGGGGUUUCAGUUAUUGUCACAUCCUUGCCACCAUGUCUCUGCUUUAAGUGGUAGCCAUCCUAAUAGAUGUAAAGGGGCACCUCAGUUUGGUUUUGACUUGCAUUUUCCCCAGUGAUGUCCAGCAUCUUUUCUUUUCAUGCGUAAUGGCCAUUUGUAUUAAAAUCCUUUGCCAGUUUUUGAAUUGGGUUUUUUGGGGUUUUGCUACUGAAUUUUAGAAGUUUUCAAAAAUAUUUUCUGAGCAUGUGAUUUGCAAAUUCUUUUCAGUGCGUAAUGGCCAUUUGUAUUAAAAUCCUUUGCCAGUUUUUGAAUUGGGUUUUUGGGGGUUUUGCUACUGAAUUUUAGAAGUUUUCAAAAAAUAUAUUCUGAGCAUGUGAUUUGCAAAUAUUUCCCCCAUUCUGUGGGUUGCCUUUUUACUGUUGGUGUCCUUUGAUACACAAAAGCUUUUAUUAUUAUUAUCAUUAUUUUUGCUUUUUAGGGCCACACCUGCGGCAUAUGGAAGUUUCCAGGCUAGGGGGUCAAAUCGGAGCUGCAGUUGCCGCCAGCCUAUGCUGUGGCACCAGAUCUGUGACCUACACCACAGCUCAUGGCAACGCCGGAUCCCCGAUCAACUGAGCGAGGCCAGACACUGAAACUGCAUCCUCAUGAACACUAGUCAGAUUAAUUUCUGCUGUGCCACAAUGGAAAUUCCCCAAAGCUUUUAAUGGACUUUUGUUUGCUUGUGUUUUACUCUUUGUGUCAUAUCCAAGAAAUCAUUGCCAAAUCCAACACCAUGAAGGUUUCUUUCCCUGUUUUUUUCUAAAUUUUUAUAGUUUUAGCACUUAUGUUUAAGCCAUUGAUCCAUUUUGAGUUAUUUUUUAUAUGUGAUAUGAAAGAUAUGAAAGAAAAUUCAACUUCAUUCUCUUGCUUAUGAACAUUCGGUCUCACCAACACCAUUUGUUGGAAAUACUGUCCUUUCCCCAUUGAAUGACCUUAGUACCUUUGUCAGAUAUUUGACCAUAUACACAAAGAUUUAUCUCUGACUUACUUGCUCUCAACUUAUUUUGAAAUAUUUUAACGCGGAGUUCCCAUCGUGGCUUAGUGGUUAACCAACCUGACUAGUAUCCAUGAGGACAUGGGUUUGAUCCCUGGCCUUGAUCGGUGGGUUAAGGAUCUGGCAUUGCUGUGAGCUGUGGUGCAGGUUGCAGAGGCAGCUCAGAUCCCGCAUUGCUGUGGCUGUGGUGUAGGCCAGCGGUAGCUCAGAUUGCACCCGUAGCCUGGGAACCUCCAUAUGCCAUGGGUGUGGCUGUAAAAAAACAAAAGACAAAAAAAUAUAUAUUUUUUAAACGCAAAGAAAAGUCAAACUAUUACAUGAACAUUUAUGUAUGCUUCACCUAGAUUCAAGCACUGUGAACUUUUUGCCACAAUUACUUUGUAUUUUUAAUGGCUGUACCUGCAACAUCUGGAAGUUCCUGAGCCAGAGACUGAAUCUGAGCCACAGCUGCAACUUACACCACAGCUGCAGCAAUGCCAGAUCCUUUAACCCACUGCACUGUACUGGGGAUGAAAACUGCACCUCUUCAGCAACCCAAGCUGCUGCAGAUUUUUUUAGGGCCACACCCACGGCAUGUGGGGAUUCCCAGGCUAGGGGUUAAAUCAGAGCUGCAGCUGCCAGCCUGCACCACAGCCACAGCAACACAGGAUCCA
rnacentral:lncRNA from 1 species